rnacentral:rRNA from 1 species
UACAGAGGUCUCAAGCGUUGUUCGGAUUCAUUGGGCGUAAAGGGUGUGUAGGUGGCGCGCUAAGUCGGGUGUGAAAUUUCGGAGCUUAACUCCGAAGCUGCAUUCGAUACUGGCGUGCUUGAGGACUGGAGAGGAGACUGGAAUUCAUGGUGUAGCAGUGAAAUGCGUAGAGAUCAUGAGGAAGACCAGUGGCGAAGGCGGGUCUCUGGACAGUUCCUGAUACUGAGACACGAAGGCCAGGGGAGCAAACGGG